rnacentral:rRNA from 1 species
AUUGAACGCUGGCGGCAGGCUUAACACAUGCAAGUCGAGCGAGCGGCGGACGGGUGUGUAAUGUCUGGGAAACUGCCUGAUGGAGGGGGAUAACUACUGGAAACGGUAGCUAAUACCGCAUAACACCAGUUGUGCCCAGAUGGGAUUAGCUAGUAGGUGGGGUAAUGGCUCACCUAGGCGACGAUCCCUACCUGGUCGGAGAGGAUUACCGGCCAAACUGGAAAUGAGACACGGGCCAGAGUCCAACGGGAGGCAGCAGUGGGGAAUAUUGCACAAUGGGAGCAAGCCUGAUACAGCCAUGCCGAGUGUGUGAAGAAGGCCUUCGGGUUGUAAAGCACUGUCAGCGAGGAGGCGUUACUCGCAGAAGAAGCACCGGCUAACUCCGUGCCAGCAGCCGCGGUAAUUC